UACAGAGGGGGCAAGCGUUGUUCGGAAUUACUGGGCGUAAAGGGCGCGUAGGCGGCCUGUUAAGUCGAACGUGAAAUCCCCGGGCUCAACCCGGGAACUGCGUCCGAUACUGGCAGGCUUGAAUUCGGGAGAGGGAUGUGGAAUUCCAGGUGUAGCGGUGAAAUGCGUAGAUAUCAGGAGGAACACCGGUGGCGAAGGCGGUUCUCUGGGCAUUACCUGACGCUGAGGAGCGAAAGUGUGGGGAGCGAACAGG
rnacentral:rRNA from 1 species